CUUAUGGGCUACUCAAAACAAUUGUUCAUACUUUUGUUAGGCUUUAUUCAAACAACUCAGGCAACCACAUCGCACUGUGGUGAGCGCCAUCAGUUCAAGACACCACUUGCAACAUUUAAUCGUUUCCCUUUGAACAGCCACGAAACAUCGAAUUUACUUCAUCUCCUCCAUAGAAUUUUGGUAAAUAAAGAUAUUUGUUUCAUUUAAAAUGUGAACGAAAUCAAUUCAGUAAUAGUGUAUGUUUUUCUUUUCAACCAUUUUCCAUUCUACCUAUUUGUUGUUGUAACACAAGCUCCGGUUACUGGGACAAAACUCAUCUGUCUGUCCAACUUUGCCAUGUCUCUGUUCUCUCUCAGUAAAACCAAAUGAAAUACUGUAAACUCCAUAGUCCUUUCCCUUUUUUUUCUUGUUUCCCCCGAAAUUGUAGGAUUGUUCAUGAAAACAGUCACUGCACAGGACUCUGUAAUGUGUGGUGAAGAGGGGGGGUCUCCGCUUGAGAAUAUACGUCCUCCAUAUUCGGAUGAGGGACCCCUAUCGGCGUCAUUCUUUUCUCUUUUUGCCUUCUGUUGCAAAACCAAACACGGACAACCUCUUUUUCCAAUUGAAGAGAGCCGGCUAAACUGGUGAUUUCAUGGGCGGAGGGCUUGGGACAUUUUAAGAAAUGAUUUUCCAGCGCCCCUUUCACACCAACUUCAAUCGAGGUCCUCUUCUUUCGUUUCCUGCCCUGCGCAGCAAUCUUGUCCAAAUUGGUGGGACUGCCAGUGUUUGAGUCUGUCUCCUCCAGCCACUUGUUUAGCAGUGGCUUAAGUUUGCACAUGUUCUUGAAGCUGAGCUGCAGUGCCUCGAACCUGCAGAUAGUGGUCUGAGAAAAGACGUUUCCGUACAGGGUGCCCAAGGCCAAGCCCACGUCCGCCUGUGUAAAGCCCAGUUUGAUCCUUCGCUGUUUGAACUGCUUGGCGAACUGCUCUAGGUCGUCGGAGCUGGGCGCAUCCUCGUCUGAGUGGUCCUGGUGGUGGCUGAACGCCUGCUGUGGGGACUCCAUCUGGUUGUCAUGGCUACCUGUAUCGUCGUGGAGCGGGUCCCGCAUGCUGUGGUGCAGAGAGGCGGGCUGGGGACUUAGCAUGGCGUUGAGGUUCGUGUAUCCCGGCUGCGAGUAAACUAGCGACUGGUGCCCGUUGGAGGCAGGCGACAGCGGGGACAAGUGGUGCGCCGUGGUCGGCGCCCACGACCCAUGGUGGCUACUCUGCGUCUGCUGGUGCACCAGGGGCCUGAAGACAACACAGCCUCACGCAGGCUCAGCAACACACAGGUUACCACCCCAACAGGACACACCACGCCACCCGGCGGGCUGAGUUGUCACGCACGACACGUGUGUGUGUGUGUGUGUGUGUGUGUGUGUGUGUGUGUGUGUGUGUGUGUGUGUGUGUGUGUGUGUGUGUGUGUGUGUGUGUAUGUGUGUGUGUGUGUAAGCCACAGGAGGUUGGUGGUACCUUAAUUGGGGAGGACGGGCUCGUGGUAAGAGCUGGAGUGGAAUCAUGGUUUCCAUGUGUUUGAUUCCAUUCCAUUCGCUUCGUUCCAGCCAUUAUUAUGAGCCGUUCUCCCCUUAGUAGCCUCCACUGGCAUAAGCAUGUUGCCCCCCGCCGAAUGUCCAUCCAUCUUGCUUCUCCCCCUCAGCCCACCCAUCCUUCCUCUCUACCUAUCCACCCUUUCAUCCUCUAUCUCUUUUCUUCAUACUGGACCAGAAUGUGAACGAGUAAAGUUGGCCUCGCGGAGAGAGAGUGCCUCCGCGAUUACUGAUGUCAAAUAAUAGAUAGAUUCACUUCUGCAGGUUAAAGGUUGUACUUUAUGACAAAUUACAUCAAUUAAAGGGAUAGUUUUCUGUGUUGUUUACUCCAAUCAACCUGGAAAACUAUCCCUUUAAAUAUUUACAUACUGUAGAUUUUUUUAUAAGAGAACACAUACGGAUUAUCUUGAGUACACAACGUAAAAUAUAUUUGUCUUUAUUAGGAGAAUUGUGUCUCUGUUGAAAUUGAGAGGACGUCUGGUUUGCGUACCACAAAACAUGAAUUUGAAAAACCUGUCAGUUUAGAAGAGGUUAGUAACAGGUGAGGAAAACGUUUUGAAAAAAACCAAAGCUGUAAAAGUUAUGUGACUCACUGAGAUAUGACUGAACUAUUUUCCGUUGAAUAUUAUGAUAGUAUACACAGCUACUUCAAUAUCAGGCAGGGAUACUCGAUGUUGCGUACAUGAGUGAGACCAUAGAAUUAGAAUGACCUGCGGUUAUUUUUAUUUUGGCUUAUUAGUUAUUCUCUUUCUAUAAUCCUGUAAUCAGAUUUAUCCUCGUGUACCAUUAUAGAGGGAUAUUAUUUAAGCUGGAUGUUUUUGCACUAUAGUCCUUUGAAUGCCAUGUCAGUAAAUGUUCAGUAGUGGAUUUCAAAUGUUAAGACAGAUAGGCAUACUAUCUUGAUCACAUUUUGUUUUUACUUUACCUUUAAGAAAUACUAUGCAUAUUAAAAACAUGCAUCAAUAAAAGCUGGGAUAACGAACCUACAACACGCAGUAUAUCAAACCCAUUAAGAAAGUUAAGGCAGACGUCUUACAACACGUAAUUCCUAGCAGCUGAGAGCGAUAGAGAGAGAGAGAGAGAGAGAGAGAGAGAGAGAGAGAGAGAGAGACAGACAGACAGACAGACAGACAGACAGACAGACAGACAGACAGACAGACAGACAGACAGACAGACAGACAGACAGACAGACAGACAGACAGACAGACAGACAGACAGACAGACAGACAGACAGACAGACAGACAGACAGACAGACAGACAGACAGACAGAGGGAGGGAGGGAGAGCGAGAAAGAUAGAGAGACCUUAUUUGAUCCAGCAGGCUUUUCACUGGGGCAUAGACUGAUCAGUCCUGUCCCUCUGUUUACUCCCCUGGUUCUGGCACAAUAACAGACAACUCCAGCCUUACAUGCACAUGCACAAACGCAC
rnacentral:lncRNA from 1 species